GAUGAACGCUGGCGGCGUGCCUAAUACAUGCAAGUCGAGCGAACAGACGAGGAGCUUGCUCCUCUGACGUUAGCGGCGGACGGGUGAGUAACACGUGGAUAACCUACCUAUAAGACUGGGAUAACUUCGGGAAACCGGAGCUAAUACCGGAUAAUAUAUUGAACCGCAUGGUUCAAUAGUGAAAGACGGUGUUGCUGUCACUUAUAGAUGGAUCCGCGCCGCAUUAGCUAGUUGGUAAGGUAACGGCUUACCAAGGCGACGAUGCGUAGCCGACCUGAGAGGGUGAUCGGCCACACUGGAACUGAGACACGGUCCAGACUCCUACGGGAGGCAGCAGUAGGGAAUCUUCCGCAAUGGGCGAAAGCCUGACGGAGCAACGCCGCGUGAGUGAUGAAGGUCUUCGGAUCGUAAAACUCUGUUAUUAGGGAAGAACAAAUGUGUAAGUAACUAUGCACGUCUUGACGGUACCUAAUCAGAAAGCCACGGCUAACUACGUG
rnacentral:rRNA from 1 species